rnacentral:miRNA from 1 species
AGUGCCGCAAAGUUUGCAGUGU